GAUUAUGGCUCAGAAUGAACGCUGGCGGCAUGGAUAGGCAUGCAAGUCGAACGUACUCCCUUCGGGGAGAAAGUGGCGAAAGGGUGAGUAACACGUGAGCAACCUGCCUCCGGAUCCGGAAUAAUCCAGGGAAACUUGGUCUAAAACCGGAUGAAGACAUUGGUCCGCAUGGUCUAAUGUUAAAAUAUUUAUAGUCCGGAGAGGGGCUCGCGGCCCAUUAGCUUGUUGGCGGGGUAAUGGCCCACCAAGGCUACGACGGGUAGGUGGUCUGAGAGGAUGGUCACCCACACUGGGACUGAGACACUGCCCAGACUCCUACGGGAGGCUGCAGUCGAGAAUCUUCCGCAAUGGGCGCAAAGCCUGACGGAGCGAUGCCGCGUGAGGGAUGAAGGCCUUCGGGUUGUAAACCUCUGUCAUCCGGGACGAAAACAAUGACGGUACCGGAAAAGGAAGCCACGGCUAACCACGUGCCAGCAGCCGC
rnacentral:rRNA from 1 species